CCGCGGUGGUUCCGCACUCCGGCUGUCUCCUCGUUGCUGUGGAGCAGCGGAAGUGACAUAGGCGCCGGAACUUCCCGCCGUUACGGGCCCGGCGGGGCGGCACCGGGCCCGGACGUACCGUUGAAACAGGCGCCUGGAGGCUGCGGGUGAGGGCGGCGCUGAGGCACCGGCGUGUCUCCAUGGGCAGGCGGGAGCAGCGGUGCUGUCCGGGGGCCGGGCUCUCUGUGGAACCUCUCCAGAAAGAUGGGCGGGGAGGUUUCCUUUACCGGAAGGCUUAAGGCUGUGAGGGUGUCCUAAUGAUCAAAGACGUGGUUUCAUCGAGAAGCGCGUUAAAGCCAAAUAAUGAAUUCAUCAAACGCAUCUCUCCCGUCCCUGAUUAUUUGCUGGAAGGUGCCGUAUAAACAAGAGCUGGAUUUAUUUGUUUUUUUUCCUCAUCGUAUGCAGUGAACCAGUUUUGCAGGUCGAGCACUGCAACUGAAGAAGUUAAGCCAGAAGAAGACAAACCGGAAUCUGAAAAAAACAAACAAACCAACCAAAUAUUGUGGAGGCUGUGUAGACUUGCAAGUACCAAGCAUCAUUGCCUCAUGUAGAGGGGUCUGUGACACCUUCUCUUCCUCUGUAGGGCCAGCGAACACACAUACUGACCAUCUCAGCCUUCUGGGGAGGAGAAGUUCAAGCAGUAACUGUUGGAAGUCUUUCUCCCUGAUCUCCUUAAAGAUAAGUUAAUUUUCAAAGUUAAUUUUCAUGGUUCACCCAAGUCUGUUGGGUGAGGUGGUCUCUGACGGUACUCAUUAUUCCUGCUCUCCUACCUCACCCAGCAACAAUAAUCCACUGCCCUUUGGGUGAUGAUGCUCAAAGUGCUUUGGGAGCGCUCCUUGUUCCCGUGUGCUUAUGCUGUGGGGACCAUUGGUCUCUCCCCAGGUAUUUUCACACCAGGAGAGCAUUUAGAAAAUGUUGCUGAACUGUCAGUAGGGGUCUCUUUUUGAUUAUCGCUCGACAGCUUCUCUGCACAAGAGAUGUUUAGUCCAUAAAUGCACAGUUGACACUUGGCUACCAUCACCCUACCACCAGAAACUCUGGCCAAGACAAUUGGGAAUAACAUUGUAACACUGACUUUUUUAGGCAGGAUGUCUUUAUGGUUGCAAACCCUCUCUGCAUAAUCUCUUGGAACAUUGCUUGAUAUCAGUGAGAGCAUCAGUUUAUGUACAGGCGCUCCCGUCAAUGACGGCUAACCCCCCUGUGCCUGUAUGUACUUACAAAUUUGAAACAUAAAGGGCACCUGAGGACUGUCUGCACACAAUGAGCUGGGGCUAGGAGAGGAGUUAAAUCAGAAUUGCUACAGUUUGAGAAAAGCCUUUGGGUAAAAGCUAGAAGCUCUUGCCUCUAGGUACCUUUGUAAACAUAGCAACAAGAGUAACAGUUACAGGUAAGUAACAGUGCUGCUUGAGUAUUUUAAUUGCUUUGGAAAGCACUGGUGUAAUAUUGUCUUAGAGCAAUCUAAGCUUGUUAACUUCUCUUCCAAGUUGCUUCUUCAAAGUUAUUGCAGGGGCUGGUGUGUGGCAGGAAUCAGUAAUGACUUUGUUUUGGUUCAGUUUUUCCACUGCAUCCCUCUCCAUCUGUAAGUGGUGGGAUGGAAGGGAAGGUGUUGAGAAUGUUCCCAAUUCAAAGCCAUUUCAAAUAAGUGCUUCAGCACAAAAGGGAAGACUGUUGCUGUUGAAUGAGCCCACUAAGUAGAGGGAGCUGCAUAUCCAGAGCAGUUUGGGGUAGUUUAUUUUUGUAGGGAACUCAUGGAGGAAGAUGCCAUAUUAGACACAGAUGUGAAGAAGUUGUAUUUGAAGACAUCCCAAGGAUACCCUGAAAGAAGGAGACAGCUAGAAAAUGAAAAGGCAAGGAAAAAAGGCUAUCACUGUUAAGCAAAAGGGACUUCUGGACUGUAGAAAACAAAAAUACAGAAAUAAACCCACCACCUCCUUAAAGAAAGCUGUACAAAAGUGAAGUAGACUAUAAAAGUUGAUCUAAUAUUUUUACUUAAUUUUAAAUUCUGUAUUAAAAAUUAAUACAUUAAACUCUUAUAAAAGUAAGGCACAUGCAAAACAUGUUGUGCAACUUCUGACUUUCGACUCUCUUAUAAACUAAUAAGCAUUAUUUUUAUUUGGCAUUUCUAAAGAGUCAUUUUUUUCUCCAUGCAGGAUAUGUGGUAGAAGGUUAAGUUUGACAUUGCACCAGUUAAAUCUAGAUUCUGUGCUUUCUGUACUACAGUAAGCAGAGAUGGUCUUAUCGUACAGUCAUACAAAAUAAAAACCAACUCAAGUACAGAUUCUGAAGGUGAUGACCAACAUACAAAAUGUAAGAAUGUGACAUUAUAUCCAUUAUAAUACAUCUUAUUCAGUACAGCAUGAUUUGGCAGCUCCAGUCUGUGUAAUGCCAGUGUGCAGUUCCUGGGUAUCAGUGUCAUACGAUGCUGAAGACCAUGGAAAGAUACUGCUCAUAGGACACUUGAAUCCAGCCAUCUUGAUCAGUAUCGUAUCGUCGGAACACAUCAGUCAGCCUCUGAAAAGGGGAAAAAAACCCCAUACAUUUUUGUACAUUGGUAAAGUUCAGACGGCCAUGUCUUCCCCAUGCCACUUAGGUUUCACUUUCUGCUCAUCCCCUCUGUAAAUACUUUUCAAUCUCGUGCAUUAGAGCACAAGCUCUUUGCCAUGUCUCAUGCUUCAGCUGUGCAGCAGAUCAGAUUUUAAAACCAGGUUAUGAUAUGAUACUCAAGGCUAGCUAUGCCCUUCACUGUAGACCAGGCAGGUUUUUUUAUAACUGGCUUUAAAGGAGGAAGAAACAAUGGACAGUUCUCAUGAGACAUUUGAGGGUCCUCUUGAGACAGAAUUCCAUGAGUACCUUGUCUAUGUGUCAUCUCCUAGCCAAAUAUGCUUUGUGUAUCAGCAGUAUCUGCCUUGUCUCUGUAAAACCUCAGAAGUGCUCUGCAGUACAGACCAUGGACCAAAAUCACCACCACCAUGGUGUCACCAACACCAGCUGUAUGAUAUUCCAUUUCAAAGCCCUCUUUACCAGAGGUUAAGUUUAUAACCGAGUGUAACUGUCUUCUAUAACAAAUUAAUAUAAAGGCAGCUGAUGUUUCAGCAGACUUAUGGCUACACAACAGCUGUAUGCAGAUAACAGAGAUAGGACUUCCACAGGGCACUCCUUUCUUGUUGCAUAUCAGAAGACAUCUUAAGAUACUGUUGCAAUGCUGGCCAAUAUCAGAAGAGCAGCCUUCUUCCUGUCCCAAAACUGAGCUUGUCCACUGCUACAGCUUCCCAGCUUUUCCCCAAAGUCUCUCUUACAUUUCAGAAAAGUCAGAGAUGCUUAGAGAAACCUUAAGCACUGAGGUGAGGAAUCACACAGUGAUGGAUUUCUAAACAAAGUAAUACAGCUGUAAAACUACAGUUCUCUCUCUCUGUCCACACUUGCAUUUCUGUUGCAGAAAGGGCUGGCGAGGUUGUGCUUGCUUUUUUUUUUUUUAAAAAAAAAUGUAUUUUACUACCAUUGCCACUGCAGGAUCACCAGUGACAAAAGGCUAAAUAAUUCGGUCACUAGGUCAAAUUCCUUUUAGUUAGAGCCUUAAACAGAGAGACAAAAAACUGUCACUUCAGAUACAAGAAUAAUGAGCACCAGAGGACAUGAUACACUCCAGUUUUAACACACCCAAGGUCCAAAGGAAGUGUAUGUAUUAAACUAAUGGAAAUGAUGUUGAGUGUUUUCCUUUUAAAACACUAAGGCUAUUUUACAUUUUUUCCCCAUAAAAGUAUUUAACAAGUCAAAAAAAAUGUAUCAAAUUUACUUGUGAUCCAAAUGGAUAACAAGUUAAGACCAAUAAAUGAAGAUGUUUUUAUCACCUCUCAUGUACUUCCUCCAAAUGAUUUAUUUAUAAGCAAGUUCUAGAUCCAAUAUCAUAGUUAAAUCGAGAACCAUAAAACUUAAAGAAGAUUUGUUUGCAAUUGACAUUGACAUACAUCUCCUUUCUUACCUGUAAAACAACACAGCACUGAAUAAAGUCAUCAAAAGCAACUUGUCCUCUUCCUUGUCUGUCAAAUUUCCGAAUAAGGAUAUCAUAGAAUUGAUCAGACAGUCGGUAACCUUGGGAAAGAGAAAUACUUUAAAAGGUUUCAAUUACUGCAGUCAUUCCAUAAAAAGAAUGAGGCUGUGUAGCAGGCGUGUAUAACAAAACAGUAAGGAGUUACAAGAGAAUUUGUUUUUUUUGGGACAAAUAUCUCCACUGCACAACAAAGGUGUUAAACUAAAAUGCAUGCAUUAAAAACCAUGCUUAAUAAUAAUUACAGACAGAGUUGCAGUAAAUAUAACCACUGAUUAAAGUGACUGGUUGGUUGAGGGAAUGGUUUAAGGCUGCAGCUGAAGUUUUUAUAAGGGAAGUCAAUUGAAUAGAAGUUUUUUUGCUGUCAGAAUGUUACUAUAGCAUAGACAGCUGGCUUCGUUUUAAAAAGCAGCAAGCUCUAGCAAGUGCUUUUGUAACGUUAGACAUUUACCUGAAGUAUUGGUUAACACUCUCAGAGCAGCUAACAGAGGAGAAAGAAAACAUUCCACACACAUGUACCAACACACCCAGUUUCUUUUUUUUAUUCCUAAAAGGAAAUAGCUUACAAAGAAGGGCUUGUGGCAUGGACAUCUUUAGAAGGUGCCUUAUACCCAGUGCCUCAGUUUUAGUCACAUUUGUCAGAGCAGCACAGCCCUAACAAGGAGCAGCUCACUUGAUGACAUAACCCAGUCAUAAAAACUGUAAUUACAAAUGAAUUACCAAAACCUGUUAGUGCUUGCUUUAGUUCAUUUUUGUCAAUCAUUCCAGAAUUGUCUCUGUCAUACGUUCGAAAAACAUUCUGCCAGUCUGUGAUGUACUUCCAGACUCCUGUGAAUUCGUUGAAGUUCACACCACCUUUGUUUUCUCUGUCAAACAUGCCUGAAAAAAAAAAUAAACACAGAUCAAACCUUAAUCAUACUACUUUUCAGUAAGAUCUGUUAGCAUUUCAAGAAGGUGGCAAGAGUGCUUUGUGGAAGGUACUGAAGACAGAAAAGAAACUGCUAAAAUGCCAAUGAUAUUUUUGAAAGUUCUGCCAAAAAAAAGCAAGUAGUCAUCCACUGAAGAAGGAAAAUAUAAAGCAAGAUACAAGAGGACCGGAAUGAAUCACAGAAUGUUCUAUUUUUUCCUGAGUUUUCAUUUCCAGUUUGAAAAUAUUUAGGGCUUGAUUGAUCAUCCAGUGACAAAAAGGGUGAGAGGGAGGGGUUUUUCUUUUCUAAGGAGACAUGACAAAAUGAACCAGUCUAUUCACUGCCAAAAAUGCUGGGAUAUUCAUCUGCAUUUGACUUACUAACACUCUCACCUUUAUACGAAAAGCACAUCGCACGGCAAUAGAGCUCAGCCUGCUGCUCAAUAUUUAUUAAAACAAAAAAUGUUAGUCCUUGGAUUUAUAUACUGUACAACAGAAAAGAUUUUUUUAUGCUUCAAUUUUUCUCUUACCACCUUCAUCUUCUACAUUACUGGAAAUAAUUUUAGGACACUAAAGAAUACAGAUAUUGUAAAGCUUCUGUUUGGUCUUUUUGGUACAGAACAUAGGCUUAAAAUGCAAGAUGGGAAAAUCUAGGUAAGAAGACAAGCUAUGUAAUAUCUUUUUAGAAUAUUUAAGCUGACAGUUUCCCCAUGCGUAAAUGACAUUUGCUGUCUAUUCAGUUGUAUGGUAACAUUUUUUCAGGCUCCUUCAACAAGUGCAUGCAUGUGCAUGUGAAGGGCAGUCCUGUAUUAUUCAAAAGGGAAAAUAUUGGAGUUUAAGUUACUACUGCUGUGCUGUCUGGAGGAAAAAAAAGAAGAAGAAGAAGAGUAAAGACAUUGAAACAUACCUUCUAACAAUGAAAGAUGUGCUUGUUAACACUACAGCCAAAUUAGUGCAAAAGACCUUUAAAUGGGCAUUCAUCAUUGCAGCAGAAAUACAUAUUGUGUAGUCAAGAGAUACUGGAUAAAACUCAAGAUCAAAACUCAAGUCUCACUUUCUUCUAUUGAUGGGAGCAGGAGAAUUUUAGAAGAGUUUUAAGUUAUAACUCAAACAACAUCUCAUAACUAUUCCUCAAUAAAAAAGCAUCUGCUUAUUUCCUGUUUUACAGGUCAGUUACUCCAGGGUGUUUAGUUUCUGACAAGUGAAAAGGCUCCUAACAUGGUGUAACCACACGGUGUAAUUUAGCAUUGAGUUUAGUUUAAAUCCCACCUCCACUGCUAAAUCAACAAAGUGUUAGUUUAUAUUAGUAUUUUCAGACCAAGAACUGUUGCUGCUUAAAAGGGCCUAAGCAGUAAUCACCUGAAAAGGACCUUUGUACUCUUCUGAAUAUUUAGAAGCUAGUCACUUGGGAAUAGUUUUCACUUGGUUGGGCACAUUCCAGAGUGCUAGGAAGCAUUAAGCUUUAAAUUAAGAGAACUACUGUGCCUCAUCUAGAAUUCCACCACCAAUUCUCUAAAGCCUUUGAAAGAACCAGGAAGACCAAGGCAGCCUUAAAUUAACUGUGGUUGCGCGCAGGGACCAGAAAGGAAUGAGUGAGAGUAAGGGUACCGCAGAGGCAUUUGCAACGAUGCAGUUGGCUGCCCAGAAAUACCUACUGGAGAGGCUGUUUGGGUACUGAGCAGGUUUUGUGAAGGUGUGGCUGCUUUGCCAGAUCUAGCUGCAAUGGUGUGAGCAGCGGUUAUACCAGUGCUGGAUUUCUCCCAUAGGAGAGAAACUGUAUCAGUGUAAGUAUACAGAUGCGGUAAUGGGGAAAAACCCCAUACUGUAGGCAGGCCCUAUGGCUAUUUGCACAUAAAGAGAAGAAUAAAAAUGGCUUUGAAAAUGCUUAAGUGGUUAUUUUAGACAGAACAUCAGUACUUUAGAGCUAUACGUCUCCUGAUAUAAAUAAAAAAUAAUGGAAUUAUUAAUAGGGUGUCAGCAUUUAACGCUGAACAGAAUAGAGGAAAAACUGAAAAUACAGUUUGGAAGUUAACUUAUUUCAAAAAAAAUUUCAAGAGGCUCAUAUAGACAGCACAGAGUGAAAUCAGAGCAACUCCAGUGCUGAAGAACUGUACUGAUUUCAGCCUGUUGCAAUAAACAGUGAAAGACUGUUCCCUCCUCUUCCCCUAACUCUACUAUUAACUUUACAUGGCAGCACAUUAAAAAACAAGCAAACAAACCAACCAACUCCACCCCCCCCCCAAAAAAAAUACAACCCACAAACAAAACGAAACAAGCAAACAAAAAAAACAAGAAG